rnacentral:rRNA from 1 species
UACAGAGGUCUCAAGCGUUGUUCGGAUUCAUUGGGCGUAAAGGGUGCGUAGGCGGCGCGGUAAGUCGGGUGUGAAAUCUCGGGGCUUAACUCUGAAACUGCAUUCGAUACUGCCGUGCUUGAGGACUGGAGAGGAGACUGGAAUUUACGGUGUAGCGGUGAAAUGCGUAGAUAUCGUAAGGAAGACCAGUGGCGAAGGCGGGUCUCUGGACAGUUCCUGACGCUGAGGCACGAAGGUCAGGGGAGCAAACGGG